UGCCACCCGGUCCCUGGGCAUGGAGACAGUCACGCGCCAGCUCCUCGGGGGUCUGUCUAGGUGUUUGGUACCUAGGGAAGGGCACUGUGUUAGUGUCUGUGGCUGCCGUGAGUGCCAGACGAGGUGGUGUGAACACUGGGAGCUCCUUCUCACCGUUCCGGAGGCUACAAGUCCAACAUCAAGCUAAAUAUUCAGGGAUUAGGUUAGUUGGCGUUCAAGAGGUCUAGAGCUGGGCAGCAAAAAACGAUCAAAGGAGCGUAUCUUCGUGUGUGCAGACAGGCUGAUGGAAGGGAGAGUGAUCGGCUUCACACCGUGACGUAGAGGGGCCUGGUGGACGGAGGCUGACUACCCACACGGUACUGAACUGUGACAGGAGGAGGAGGAACGGGACCUGACUGAGGAGCCUCGGCCUUCAAAGCACUGACAAGUCACCGGUGGAGGAGCUCUUCCAAAGGCAACAAAAGGAAGGAAGUUACUAAAUGCUAUAGCCAUUUAAGCAUGUGAAAAAAGAAUACUACAUUUAAAAAAAAGGUAGAUCCUGCUUUCAAGAGGCUCGCAUCUUUUUGAGGAGGAAGACAGGAAGAAACUCGUGGUUAUGGAUAAAGGACAGCAGCUUCGGUAG